ACUUAUUUAGUAUAAUAGUAUAUUUGACUUCCAAUCAAAAGGUCUGAUCUCUCAGAAUAAGUA
rnacentral:tRNA from 1 species